rnacentral:lncRNA from 1 species
UGUUGUGCAUAUACGGAGAUAUAGGGAUCAGGAGGUAUUAUGAUAGUCCAUACCAGAAAAAAAGAAGGAAAAAGAUAAGAAACCUAAGGAAAAAACAUGUCUUUGUUGUGCACAUACAGAGAUAUAGGGAUCAGGAGAUAUUAGGAUAGCUCAUAUGUUAUUUAGCCCAGCCCACACAGAGCGAUGCAUGUGGACCGAGUUGAAUAUGAAGCAGCAGGGGACGGAUCCAGCGGAGAAUGUCUAUCCCCUUCCUUUCUCGGUUUCUCAGCUGGGUAACAGAGGCGUUUCCUCAGCCGCGGACCAGUGCGAUUUCUUAUCU